GAUGAACGCUGGCGGCGUGCCUAAUACAUGCGAGUCGAGCGAACAGACGAGGAGCUUGCUCCUCUGACGUUAGCGGCGGACGGGUGAGUAACACGUGGAUAACCUACCUAUAAGACUGGGAUAACUUCGGGAAACCGGAGCUAAUACCGGAUAAUAUAUUGAACCGCAUGGUUCAAUAGUGAAAGACGGUUUUGCUGUCACUUAUAGAUGGAUCCGCGCCGCAUUAGCUAGUUGGUAAGGUAACGGCUUACCAAGGCAACGAUGCGUAGCCGACCUGAGAGGGGGAUCGGCCACACUGGAACUGAGACACGGUCCAGACUCCUACGGGAGGCAGCAGUAGGGAAUCUUCCGCAAUGGGCGAAAGCCUGACGGAGCAACGCCGCGUGAGUGAUGAAGGUCUUCGGAUCGUAAAACUCUGUUAUUAGGGAAGAACAAAUGUGUAAGUAACUAUGCACGUCUUGACGGUACCUAAUCAGAAAGCCACGGCUAACUACGU
rnacentral:rRNA from 1 species